ACACACAGUUUAGUCCACUCCCACAGGAAGUGAAAUGUGGCACCGUAACUGAAGGAACGAGGAAGUAUCUUACAUGUGGAGCUUUUCGGUCUCUACAGAGGACUCCCCCGCUACCAAAACAAGGGCUGCUGGGUAAUGGCUGCUCUCGGGGCUUUUCUCACUCUUGCUGUGUGUCUCCUAAUUGGACGUGCGGGAUCAGGAGCGUCCAAAUGGAGACCAAACAUCUGAUCCUGGCCUGUGAGGAGCUGAGCAACCAGUGCCUGCCCGUCCAUUUUGAGGGAAACUCUGCAGACGCAAAGCCAAACAACAACGCCAGAGGCUGCCAGGAAACACGCACCGGGGAUGACGCUCCCAGCUAUAAAAUGACGUGGCUCUGGUUGUUAUCUGCUCUUCUUGUUAUUGUUUAUGGCUACCACCAUUAAUUUGAGAAUCUAGAUGGGACACUAAGACUUCUCAACACGUUUGAGAAAAACCUUAAUUUGAAAAGUGUUGUUUGUUAUAUCUAUAUUAAUCUCAGAACAGCAAAGGGAAAAACAUUUAUCUAAUGUGUUAUAUUCCACUAUUUCAUGCCUGUGUAUCUGUUGCAUCACUGGGAGAUAAUGAGAGGGGUGGUGCUCUAAAGGCAUUUCAUUUCAAUUAAAGUAACAGUAAUUAGUGCAUGAAUGGCACAGAUGUGUAUUUUACAUUAAAAGACAUAAAUUGAAUUGCUGUAUGAAUUGGAUUUAAUUUAAUUUGAUAAAUUUAUGGUAUGAUUUAAUAAACAAGACAAUUUCCGCGACGGUUUAAUUUCAGUACGUAAAAUGUGAUACAGAUCAUUGUAACAACUUAACCCUGAACAUGAAGCGUCGUCUGGACAAUCUAAAACAGACAAACAAGAGAAACAACACCCACAGAUAUCAGUUUAAAUGUUUGCUUGAUCUCUGGAUCAUAAAUAUUUGUAGUGAAACUCACAGCUCAUGUGAGAAGCUUUUUCAAAUACAAACUCCACCAAAACCACUUCUUUGUCAGAACAUAAAGAUUAGAGAACAAAACCAUCACUAGUACUGGGAGGCAGUAGCUUAUUGAGCAAAGUAGACAGCCAAAGGCAUAUAGAAUAUUAGACGAUCGGACUAUUUCACACACACUAUCAAUUAGCCUCAACAUGCUCUCCUCACAUGCUGAUACAGUCGACACACAGAUGAUGGCAGUAUUGCACAAAUUUGUUAGAAAAAGAAAAAUAGUCACUUUUCUAUUAUUUUACAUGUAAACUCUCUUUUUAGACGCAUCUGACUAACUGACGAUGUAGGCUGAUGGUGGUCAGGUUUUUUUUUUUUAUAUUAGCUGUUUGCAUCCACCAAAUUAGAAAUACUAAUUUGAGCACACAAAUCAACCAGGUAUGUCUCAGAUGGAGGUUUUUUUCCAUCUCUUUCUCUCUUUUCCACACAGAUUAUUUUAUGUCUUUCUAUGCUAGAAGCAUACAAUAACUAAUGAUCUGCUCCUUAAUGCUGACAUUUAAUCUAUUACCUCUAACAAGUCUGGAUUAACUUGAGUAUUAAAUGAUUAAGAAGUUGAUUAAGCACAGAUUAAUUUAGUAAAAUGCACCAUGUACACCACAAUAUUUACUGAAGUUAUGAAGGCUUUAAAACUAGAUUUUGAUUCAGUGCCACUGUACGAGAUUAUUUAUAAUGCAGGUGUUACCUUAAGGACUUGACCAAUUCAGUUAAUGAAAUGCUUGCUAGUGUCGUCCUCCAUUGUUACAUGUAUUAGCUUAGUUAAUUAACUGGUGCAUUAGGGUCCAGCUGAUAGGGACGUUUAAGAGCACCUUCUGCUGGACCACAAGGAAAACUACUAAACGGUCAGACUGCACGUUAUUAAACAGGUCAUGGUAGUUUAAAUAUUAUUUCUACAUCCAUGUCCUAAACCCCUAAAAAGCCCUAAAACAACUGCAAGUUUAAAAAACCAAAAAUAUUUCCCCACAGAGCAUCAGGAGAAAUGCUGAAACCGGAUGUCUAAUGCUUUUUCUGAUGCAAUCAACCUGCCCAUCUUUGCUUCCAAAGCUGGUUAUGUUCCCAGUGUCAAGUAACAACUAACAACUCCAAACACUGUGAUCACUGAAACAACAAGUCUCACUCAAGAAGAAGAUUAGAGAUGAACAUUUAGUAUCCAAUGUUCUUAUUUUUUAUCUUAGCAUGCAGAUGCAGCUCAAAAUGUUUGUUGAAUUGUUUUUGGUGCAUGGACUGCACAUGUGUUUGAGCAGGUAGUAGUGCUCACAAACGAGCCCCUCGGAGAAUAUGCAGCCCUGAUCUUGUAAAACUUCUACAACUUUCCAUUUGGCCACAUGUGCAUCACUGUACAUCCUUUCCCUCUCUCCUUUUCUUUCUUGUGAUUCUGUUACAGAGACAGGAAAAUAAAAGUGUUUAUUAGUUAACAGUUCAAGUUUAAUCUUUUUUUUUAAUGCUUUCAUGUUGUCACAAGGUAUUGGCAAAGUCAUUAUGAUCAUGAAGAAAUCACAGGA